GACGAACGCUGGCGGCGUGCUUAACACAUGCAAGUCGAACGGUAUGGCCCUUCGGGGUACACGAGUGGCGAACGGGUGAGUAACACGUGGGUGAUCUGCCCUGCACUUCGGGAUAAGCCUGGGAAACUGGGUCUAAUACCGGAUAGGACUCCUGGCUUCAUGGUUGGGGGUGGAAAGCUUUUGCGGUGUGGGAUGGGCCCGCGGCCUAUCAGCUUGUUGGUGGGGUAAUGGCCUACCAAGGCGACGACGGGUAGCCGGCCUGAGAGGGUGACCGGUCACACUGGGACUGAGGUACGGCCCAGACUCCUACGGGAGGCAGCAGUGGGGAAUAUUGCACAAUGGGCGCAAGCCUGAUGCAGCGACGCCGCGUGAGGGAUGACGGCCUUCGGGUUGUAAACCUCUUUCAGCUAUGGCGAAGCGCAAGUGACGGUAGUAGCAGAAGAAGGACCGGCCAACUACGUGCCAGCAGCCGCCGUAA
rnacentral:rRNA from 1 species